UACGUAGGGUGCGAGCGUUGUCCGGAAUUAUUGGGCGUAAAGAGCUCGUAGGCGGUUUGUCGCGUCUGCUGUGAAAACCCGAGGCUCAACCUCGGGCCUGCAGUGGGUACGGGCAGACUUAGAGUGCGGUAGGGGGAGAUUGGAAUUCCUGGGUGUAGCGGUGGAAUGCGCAGAUAUCAGGAGGAACACCAAUGGCGAAGGCAGAUCUCUGGGCCGUAACUGACGCUGAGGAGCGAAAGCAUGGGGAGCGAACAGG
rnacentral:rRNA from 1 species